rnacentral:rRNA from 1 species
UGGGGGAGUAUUGCACAAUGGGGGGAACCCGUGAUGCAGCGACGCCGCGUGGGCGAUGGAGCGCCUCGGCGCGUAAAGCCCUAUCAGCAGGGAAGAAGAUGACGGUACCUGACUAAGAAGCCCCGGCUAAAUACGUGCC